rnacentral:tRNA from 1 species
GGGAGCGUAGCGCAGUCGGUAGUCGCGUCAGUCUCAUAAUCUGAAGGUCGUGAGUUCGAGCCUCACCGUUCCCA